AGAGUUUGAUCAUGGCUCAGAACGAACGCUGGCGGCAUGCCUAACACAUGCAAGUCGAACGAGACCUUCGGGUCUAGUGGCGCACGGGUGCGUAACGCGUGGGAAUCUGCCCUUGGGUUCGGAAUAACAGCGAGAAAUUGCUGCUAAUACCGGAUGAUGACGUAAGUCCAAAGAUUUAUCGCCCAAGGAUGAGCCCGCGUAGGAUUAGCUAGUUGGUGAGGUAAAGGCUCACCAAGGCGACGAUCCUUAGCUGGUCUGAGAGGAUGAUCAGCCACACUGGGACUGAGACACGGCCCAGACUCCUACGGGAGGCAGCAGUGGGGAAUAUUGGACAAUGGGCGAAAGCCUGAUCCAGCAAUGCCGCGUGAGUGAUGAAGGCCUUAGGGUUGUAAAGCUCUUUUACCCGGGAUGAUAAUGACAGUACCGGGAGAAUAAGCUCCGGCUAACUCCGUG
rnacentral:rRNA from 1 species